UAAAAUAUUUUGUGAAGAGUCAGUUUUUAUGAAAAGAUAUUUUGUGAAGGGUUCUUUAACUGACCGAAAUUUCUUCUAAACAGACCCCUUAUCUGACAGUAUGACAUAAUUAAGAGGUCUCUUAAAUUAAACAUACAUGCGCAAGGAUAGAUUCUCUCUCAUCCAUUGACAGUUUUCUGUGUUGCAGCCUGAUGUAGGUCAUUAAAUAAUAAAUAAAAGCAUCACAGAAGAAGUUGUAAAGAAGCUUUUAUAUUUGUUAUGAGGUUAUUCAGUUGUAGUAUGUAUUUUGUAUAAGAUAUUAAAAAUAUACUUAUCCUUUAAAUAAAGAAAACAUGCUUAUAAA